AUUGAACGCUGGCGGCAUGCUUUACACAUGCAAGUCGAACGGUAACAGGGAGCUUGCCCCGCUGACGAGUGGCGAACGGGUGAGUAAUGCGUCGGAACGUGCCGAGUAGUGGGGGAUAACGCAUCGAAAGGUGUGCUAAUACCGCAUACGUACUGAGGUAGAAAGUGGGGGACUUUCGGGCCUCACGCUAUUCGAGCGGCCGACGUCUGAUUAGCUAGAUGGUGAGGUAAAGGCUCACCAAGGCGUCGAUCAGUAGCGGGUCUGAGAGGAUGAUCCGCCACACUGGGACUGAGACACGGCCCAGACUCCUACGGGAGGCAGCAGUGGGGAAUUUUGGACAAUGGGCGCAAGCCUGAUCCAGCCAUGCCGCGUGUCUGAAGAAGGCCUUCGGGUUGUAAAGGACUUUUGUCCGGGAGCAAAUGCUGGUGGCUAACAUCCACCGGAGCUGGGAGUACCGGAAGAAUAAGCACCGGCUAACUACGUGCCAGCCGCCGCAGUAAUAC
rnacentral:rRNA from 1 species